UACGGAGGGUCCAAGCGUUAUCCGGAUUCAUUGGGUUUAAAGGGUCCGUAGGCGGGAGAAUAAGUCAGUGGUGAAAUCCUACAGCUUAAUUGUAGAACUGUUAUUGAAACUGUUUUUCUUGAAUGUAGAUGAAGUGGGUGGAAUGUGUCAUGUAGCGGUGAAAUGCAUAGAUAUGACACAGAACACCGAUUGCGAAGGCAGCUCACUAAAUUAUUAUUGACGCUGAUGGACGAAAGCGUGGGGAGCAAACAGG
rnacentral:rRNA from 1 species